GAUUUCAACUGAAAAAGUCAUCAACAACAAAGUUGUAUAAAUCAUCAAGAUCUCUAACUUUUAUUUUGGUCAUUUCUUCAUCCGACAAAGUGAUAGUAACAUUGUUCACAAAAUUUACAUCUCUCAUUUAGUUUUACAAACUAAAUGAGAGGUAAAUUUUGUGAACAAUGUUACUAUCACUUUGUCGGAUGAAGAAAUGACCAAAAUAAAAGUUGUAUGUCUUGAUGAGUUCUACAACUUUUAUGUUCAUAACUUUUUCAGCUGAAUUU
rfam:Oryza nivara chromosome 10, whole genome shotgun sequence.